rnacentral:rRNA from 1 species
UAAGUUGGUAGUGAAUGACGUGGCUCAACCACGUGUCCAUUAUCUAAACUGCUAAGCUAGAGUAUAUGAGAGGUAGUUGGAAUUCCUUGUGUAGGAGUGGAAUCCGUAGAUAUAAGGAGGAACACCGAUGGCGUAGGCAGACUACUGGCAUAUUACUGACACUAAGGCACGAAAGCGUGGGAGCGAACAGGAUUAGAUACCCUGGUAGUCCACGCCGUAAACUAUGGAUGCUA